rnacentral:misc_RNA from 2 species
AACGCAAGUUGCGCCCGAAGCCAUCUGGUCGAGGGCACGUCUGCCUGGGUGUCACGCAUCGUUGCCCCCAACCCCAUCGCCUCUCCAAGAGACGAGGGCGGUCUGCGGGGCGGACAUUGGCCUCCCGUGAGCUUUCGCUCGCGGCUGGCCUAAAAGCGAGUCCUCGGCGACGAGCGCCACGACAAUCGGUGGUUGACAAACCCUCGUGUCCCGUCGUGCGCGGCUCGUCGCUCGUCUUGUGCUCUGUGACCCUGUAGCGUCGCGCUCGCGACUCUUCCAACGCGACCCCAGGUCAGGCGGGACUACCCGCUGAAUUUAA